rnacentral:tRNA from 1 species
AAAAAGAUAAGCUAAAUUAAGCUAGUAGGUUCAUACCCUACAUAUAGACCUCAACCCUCUUCUUUUUA